UACAGAGGUCCCAAGCGUUGUUCGGAUUCACUGGGCGUAAAGGGUGCGUAGGUGGUUAGGUAAGUCCGAUGUGAAAUCUCCAGGCUCAACCUGGAAAUGGCAUUGGAUACUAUCUAGCUUGAGGAGUGGAGGGGGGACUGGAAUUCUCGGUGUAGCAGUGAAAUGCGUAGAUAUCGAGAGGAACACCAGUGGCGAAGGCGAGUCCCUGGACACGUCCUGACACUGAGGCACGAAAGCUAGGGGAGCAAACAGG
rnacentral:rRNA from 1 species